rnacentral:rRNA from 1 species
CAGUAGCCACGGGAAAACGGAGGGAGCUAGCGUUGUUCGGAAUUACUGGGCGUAAAGCGCGCGUAGGCGGUUACUCAAGUCAGAGGUGAAAGCCCGGGGCUCAACCCCGGAACUGCCUUUGAAACUAGGUGACUAGAAUCUUGGAGAGGUCAGUGGAAUUCCGAGUGUAGAGGUGAAAUUCGUAGAUAUUCGGAAGAACACCAGUGGCGAAGGCGACUGACUGGACAAGUAUUGACGCUGAGGUGCGAAAGCAUGGGGAGCAAACAGGAUUAGAUACCCGGGUAGUCCCUGUCUUAUACAC